rnacentral:rRNA from 1 species
UCUGGUUGAUCCUGCCAGAGGUUACUGCUAUCGAGGUUCGACUAAGCCAUGCGAGUCGAAUGUAGCAAUACAUGGCGAACUGCUCAGUAACACGUGGACAACCUGCCCUUAGGUUGGGUAUAAACCCGGGAAACUGGGUAUAAUACCCGAUAGGUCUCGAUUGCUGGAAUGCAUCGAGAUUUAAAGCUCCGGCGCCUAAGGAUGGGUCUGCGGCCUAUCAGGUAGUAGUGGGUGUAGCGUACCUACUAGCCUACGACGGGUACGGGUUGUGAGAGCAAGAGCCCGGAGAUGGAUUCUGAGACACGAAUCCAGGCCCUACGGGGUGCAGCAGGCGCGAAAACUUUACAAUGCUGGCAACAGCGAUAAGGGAACCUCGAGUGCCAGGUUACAAAUCUGGCUGUCGAGAUGCCUAAAAAGCAUUUCAUAGCAAGGGCCGGGCAAGACCGGUGCCAGCCGCCGCGGUAACACCGGCGGCUCGAGUGGUAACCGUUAUUAUUGGGUCUAAAGGGUCUGUAGCCGGCCGGAUAAGUCUCUUGAGAAAUCUGGCAGCUUAACUGUCAGGCUUUCAGGAGAUACUGUCUGGCUCGAGGCCGGGAGAGGUGAGAGGUACUUCAGGGGUAGGGGUGAAAUCUUGUAAUCCUUGAAGGACCACCAGUGGCGAAGGCGUCUCACCAGAACGGACCUGACGGCAAGGGACGAAAGCUAGGGGCACGAACCGGAUUAGAUACCCGGAUAGUCCUAGCCGUAAACGAUACUCGCUAGGUGUCGGCCACGGUGCGACCGUUGUCGGUGCCGUAGGGAAGCCGUGAAGCGAGCCACCUGGGAAGUACGGGCCGCAAGGCUGAAACUUAAAGGAAUUGGCGGGGGAGCACCACAACGGGUGGAGCUUGCGGGUUUAAUUGGAUUCAACGCCGGAA